AUUGAACGCUGGCGGCAUGCCUUACACAUGCAAGUCGAACGGCAGCGGGGGAGAAGCUUGCUUUUCCUGCCGGCGAGUGGCGAACGGGUGAGUAAUACAUCGGAACGUGCCCUGUAGUGGGGGAUAACUAGUCGAAAGAUUAGCUAAUACCGCAUACGACCUGAGGGUGAAAGUGGGGGACAGCAAGGCCUCAUGCUAUAGGAGCGGCCGAUGUCUGAUUAGCUAGUUGGUGGGGUAAAGGCCUACCAAGGCGACGAUCAGUAGCUGGUCUGAGAGGACGAUCGGCCACACUGGGACUGAGACACGGCCCAGACUCCUACGGGAGGCAGGAGUGGGGAAGAUUGGACAAUGGGCGCAAGCCUGGUCCAGCCAUGCCGCGUGUGUGAAGAAGGCCUUCGGGUUGUGAAGCACUUUUGUCCGGAAAGAAAUCCAAUCGAUUAAUACUCGGUUGGGAUGACGGUACCGGAAGAAUAAGCACUGGCUAACUUCGUGCCAGCCGCCGCAGUAAUAC
rnacentral:rRNA from 1 species